rnacentral:lncRNA from 1 species
AAUGCUAAGUUUUAAUAAAAGGCUGCUAUUGACCUUCCAGAUCAAUUUAAAUCCCAGCACAAACCAGGAUAUGGUUUCAAUUCUGUGGAGAGCCCUGAGGGAGUCAGAUGGAAACGAGUUGCCCCUGCACAGCUGGCAAAGAUGCCUUCCCACAGGAGCUGCUCAGAGGAACUUGCAGGCAAGCAGCAACCUCGCUGUGAGAACACUCAUUUCUCCAGGGGUUUUCUCAGACUUCUGCCAGGAUUUUCCUCUUCCUCCAGUACACCAGAACACACCUGCAUCUCCCAUGUGUGUCCUGUUCUGCUCCUCUCAAGGUACUUCAAGAAACGUUGUGUUUUCCAGAGGUAAAUAAUGCAGAGCGAGACAGUUGCACUCUGCCAUUAUCAUAGGGUUAGCCUGAAACUUGUUUAUGAACAUUUUGAUGUUUCUCUUGACGCACUGAAGGUGGGCAUAUACAUACAAAAUAUUUCUACCAGACAUUAGUUUUUGUGGAGUCUAUUGUGAGUGGAGAUAAAAUAAUCAGUUAAGAAAAACAACAGUAUAUUUUUCCUGUAUUGCAUGUUUGUAACACAGAGAAACAAGUUCUUAAAACGAUGCAGCAAAUUCAGAGGUGUUUAGAGUCAUAAUUUUAAUUUUUAUGUAUUUAACUUCUUGACCCAAGACUUUACUGGUUACCUUUACUGGUUGCUUUUAAUUUAUAACUUUUAAAGAUGCUAGAUAAUUUAAGAAAGAUAUUUGGUCCUUAUUUAAUGCCAAGAAAUGAAGAAUCCUAAGGAAGAGAAGCAAAUACCUAAUUACCUCCUCUGUUUCAAAAGUAAAAGGUCUUCCAUUAUGUGGCUUCUAUUUAGCCCCUAGGGUUUGAAUACCUCUACUCUCUCAGGACUUUGAAAGCUUGUUUGUACCCUGGAUGACUGAGCUUUGUCCAGUUUUCUGUCAACUCGUGUUCUGUCUGUAUCUCCAUCUUCUCUUCUGGCCUCUGUCAAUUCACUUUAUUUUAUGUACAUUUGGAAUGAUCCUUAUUGAUUGCAUCACCUUUUAGCAUCCUUUCCUAUAUAAGUUCAUUUUUAAGGGCAUUCAUAGACUAUCUCACCCGGUACUCUCAGCCUUCUAGGCCAGGACCUACACAAAACAUUAAAUUUUUAUUUAUACAUUUGACCAACCUCCAUGCCACUUUUUGCAUGUGGGAGCUGCUCAUUCACUAAACUCAUGUUGUUGUCAUUCAAAUCUCUCCUUAAAGCCUUCCUUUAUUCUGAUGCUAAUGGGGGAAAAAAAAAAAAUACUAUUAGGCAACUGGAGUGCUACCAACAGCUUGAUCUAUUACAUUGACUAAUAUUGCUUCAUUAUAGCCUGAC